UGAGAGGAGGGUGGAGCAAAGCCACUGGAGAAAAGUCAUGGAAGGAGGCAAGGGACUCACAGCCUGUGAGAACAACCUGAGGUCGGAUGCACCCAGCCAGGGUGAAGAACUGUGGCAGGAUAAUUGCCCAUCUGCAAUAAAGAAGGCAGAGCGCUGAAGGAUUGAUGCUUUUGAACUGUGGGGCUGGGGAAGACUCUUGAGAUUCCCUUGGACAACAAGGAGAUCAAACCAGUCAAUCCUAAAGGAAAUCAACCCAGAAUAUUCACUGGAAGGACUGAUGCUGAAGCUGAAGCUCCAAUACUUUGGCCACCUGAUACGAAGAUCCAACUCACUGGAAAGACUCUGAUGCUGGGAAAGGUUGACGGCAGAAGGAGAAGGGGAUGACAGAGAAGGAGAUGGCUGGGUGGCAUCACCAAUUCAAUGGACAUGAACUUGGGCAAACUCUCAGAGAGGUGAGAGACAGGGAGGCCUCUGUCUCUGGCAUGCUGGCAUGCUGCAGUCCAGGGGGUCGCAGAGUCAUACACAACUUGGCAGCUGAACAACAACAACAGUUUUCACUAAUGUAUUGACUGCGCAUUAGGGGAGGGUUGUGGGAUGGGAAAGUCCCUCCCAGCCCAUCUCCUACCUGGUUCUCUUCCCUCCAGGCAUCCAGGGCCUUCAGCUUCAGCUCACACUACAUCGUGAGCUUCUAUCUGUUCCCUCCAAAUCAGCACGUGCCAUUCGCUCUGUCAGGCUCCUUUCUCUCCAAAACAUCUUGAAGACUGCCCACUGAUCUCACAUGGAGCUUGUUCUCACAUGAUUGUCGGCUGCGUAAUAUUCCAAGGAGUGGGGGUAGGUGUGCUCUAUUGCUCCAUUCCCCUGCAAUGGAGGCAAAUGUCAUGUCUAGCCUUCUGCUAAUUCAAGCAAAGGCAGAAGAAUCGCUUUGAACAGAGUUGCUGCCACAGCUGCCCUUGUCCAAUCCGUGCGCACCGGCUGUGCACCAGGAUUUCACCUGCAGAUUCUUUCUCAGCACUUGCACAACCCUGCCCAGAGGUCACAUAAGAGGAGAACUCCAGCAGAUGGUGAAGGACAAGGAAGCCUGGUGUGCUGCAGUCCAUGGGGUCACAAAUAGUCAGACACAACUGAGUGACUGAACACCAACGACCUUUGGAAUGAAAGAGAGAGAAAGCUGCAGACGCUACAUAGAGCAAAAUAGAAUGAAAAAGGAUAAAACAGAGGGAGUCAGAUGGAGAGAGAGACAGGGAGAGACUGGCAGAGAGAGAGAGAGAUGCAGAAAUAGAAGCAAAACUGAGAGACAAAGCAACUCAGAGGCAGAGCUGCAAACAGAAACUGAAAGAAAACAGGACCGGGGCCCUGCAGAGAAAUGGAGAUGGAGCAAGAGGGAGGGGACAAGAGAAAGUGCCACGCAUGGUGGACAAAAAGGAAGUGGGGGCCCAGGGCCUCCUUUCAGGGUGACGGGAAGAUUCUGGAAUUAGAUCCUUUUGAUGGUUGCACAACUGUGUAUAUGAAAAGCUGCAGGACUGUACGCUUUACAAGGUUGCAUUUUCUGGAACAUGGAAUUAUAUCUCAUUUGAAAAUAUGAGAGGACAUGAGAGAAACCCAAAUUGAAGGACCGUCUACAAAACAUCUGACUGAUGCUCUGCAAGUCUGGCAAGAUCAGGAAGGACAAGGAAAGAGUGAGGACCAUCCCCGAGGCUGCAGGAGAAGGAGACGAGAUGAGCAAAUUCCAUGUGGGGUCCGGAACAGAGAAAGGAGACUGGGGGAAAAUCUGAAUAAAGUCUGUAGUUAGUUAAUGGUAUUGGAUCAAACUGAAUUUCUCAGUUUGGAUUGUUGUACUGCUAUGAAAGAGAGUCAUAGAGGAAGCCGGGGGAAGGGGAUGUGGGAACUGUCUUUGCACCUUUUCUCUGUCUAAAAUUAUUUCAAAAUUAAAAAGCUAGAACAGAUAAACCAAGGAGACAGAAAUGACCAGAGAGCAGCCCUGGGACAGAGGAGCUGCCUGUGUUCCUGGCCUGGUGGGGACCAUUGGCCAAGACCCCUUCCGGAGAAAGCCCUAGGCUGGGUGAGCCCGGUGUCUAGGUGUCUAGUCCUCUGCCCAUGACUGACAAAGAGGCUG
ensembl:lncRNA